GACGAACGCUGGCGGCAGGCUUAACACAUGCAAGUCGAACGCAUCCUUCGGGGUGAGUGGCAGACGGGUGAGUAACGCGUGGGAACGUGCCCUUCAGUUUGGAAUAACCCAGGGAAACUUGGGCUAAUACCGGAUACGCCCUAACGGGGAAAGAUUUAUCGCUGAAGGAUCGGCCCGCGUCUGAUUAGCUGGUUGGUGAGGUAAUGGCUCACCAAGCCGACGAUCAGUAGCUGGUCUGAGAGGAUGAUCAGCCACAUUGGGACUGAGACACGGCCCAAACUCCUACGGGAGGCAGCAGUGGGGAAUAUUGGACAAUGGGCGCAAGCCUGAUCCAGCCAUGCCGCGUGAGUGAUGACGGCCUUAGGGUUGUAAAGCUCUUUCGCACGCGACGAUAAUGACGGUAGCGUGAGAAGAAGCCCCGGCUAACUUCGUGCCAGCCGCCGCCGUAAGAC
rnacentral:rRNA from 1 species